UACGAAGGGGGCGAGCGUUGUUCGGAAUUACUGGGCGUAAAGGGCGCGUAGGCGGCGCUGGAAGUCAGGCGUGAAAGCCCCGGGCUUAACCUGGGAAUUGCGUUUGAUACUCCAGUGCUUGAGUUCGGGAGAGGAGAGUGGAAUUCCCAGUGUAGAGGUGAAAUUCGUAGAUAUUGGGAAGAACACCAGUGGCGAAGGCGGCUCUCUGGACCGACACUGACGCUGAGGCGCGAAAGCGUGGGGAGCAAACAGG
rnacentral:rRNA from 1 species